AAGCAACAGGCUUUGCUGCUAGUUUCUGUUACCAACAACAUUGCCAUUAAGGGUAGCUUUACACACCAAGUUCUCAUGCAGUAGCAAAGAAGAAAAUCAAAGCCUGACUAAAACAGAAACACCACAAGAGCUGUAAAGGAUCCCAACUCAAGGCCCCUACAGACAGGACUGG